rnacentral:rRNA from 1 species
CCUACGGGUGGCAGCAGUGAGGAAUAUUGGUCAAUGGGCGGGAGCCUGAACCAGCCAAGUCGCGUGAAGGAAGAAGGUACUUAGGAUUGUAAACUUCUUUUGUCGGGGAACAAAGGCGGAGACGCGUCACCGGUUGAGUGUACCCGAAGAAAAAGCAUCGGCUAACUCCGUGCCAUCAGCCGCGGUAAUACGGGGGAUUCGGGCGUGAUCCGGAUUUAUGGGGGUAAAAGGGUGCGCGGGCGGGAGAUCAAGUCAGCGGUAAAAUGUCGGGGUUAAACCCCGGCCGGCCGUUGAAACUGGUUAUCUAGAGUUCGAGAGAAGCAUGUGGAAUUCGUGGUGUAGCGGUGAAAUGCAUAGAUAUCACGAAGAACCCCGAUUGCGAAGGCAGCUUACUAAACGGCGACUGACAUUGAUGCGCGAAAGCGUGGGUAUCAAACAGGAUUAGAUACCCCAGUAGUC